rnacentral:rRNA from 1 species
AUUGAACGCUGGCGGCAGGCCUAACACAUGCAAGUCGAGCGAGCGGCGGACGGGGGAGUAAAGUUUGGGAAACUGUGUGAUGGAGGGGGAUCACAACUGGAAACGGUAGAUAUACCGGCACAACAUACGAUGUGCCCAGAUGGGAUUAGCUAGUAGGUGGGGGAAUGGCACCCCUAGGCGCCGAUCCCUAGCUGGUCUUAGAGGAGGACCAGCCACACUGGGACUGAGAAACGGCCCAGACUCCUACGGGAGGCAGCAGGUGGGAAUAUUGCACAAUGGGCGCAAGCCUGAUGCAGCCAUGCCGCGUGUGUGAAGAAGGCUUUCGGGUUGUAAAGCACUUUCAGCGGGGAGGCGUUACCCGAAGAAGAAGCACCGGCUAACUCCGUGCCAGCAGCCGCGGUAAUAC